GACGAACGCUGGCGGCGUGCUUAACACAUGCAAGUCGAACGGUAAGGCUCCAGCUUGCUGGGGUACACGAGUGGCGAACGGGUGAGUAACACGUGGGUGACCUGCCCUGCACUUCGGGAUAAGCCUGGGAAACUGGGUCUAAUACCGGAUAGGACCAUGGUGUGGAUACUGUGGUGGAAAGUUUUUUCGGUGUGGGAUGGGCCCGCGGCCUAUCAGCUUGUUGGUGGGGUAAUGGCCUACCAAGGCGGCGACGGGUAGCCGGCCUGAGAGGGUGGACGGCCACAUUGGGACUGAGACACGGCCCAGACUCCUACGGGAGGCAGCAGUGGGGAAUAUUGCACAAUGGGCGGAAGCCUGAUGCAGCGACGCCGCGUGGGGGAUGACGGCUUUCGGGUUGUAAACUCCUUUCACCAUCGACGAAGGGUUUCUGACGGUAGAUGGAGAAGAAGCACCGGCUAACUACGUG
rnacentral:rRNA from 1 species